GAAAAACAUAGAAUCCCCCAGCUGCUUACUAAUUCUCGAGCAGACUGUAAGAGUCAGUCAAGAGAUUGAUGUGUAAUACCAUCUAACGCCUUAGGCCUGCCAAAAACUUAAAUCUUGAGCAUGGCAUGCGUCUUCUAAUAUCUUCUAAUAUUCUCUAAAAAUACCUUAAAUACUACUUUAUAAAAAAAAAAACAAAAAACAAAAACUACACUUACUAAAACUACCAAAACUUAUACUAAAAAAUCCAAAACUAGCCUAAAACAAUGUCUUAUUUACUAAAACUACCUACCGUCUUAAAUAUAUUUACUUAUAUAUAGUAUUUCUAAUUUUUCUUUUUUACAAAAAAAAUAUUGAAUCUCCAGGCCCUACCCCUAGGACAUUCUAAUUAUUUUAUCUUCGGCCCUACCCCGAAGAUAAGAAAAUUAUACUAUAAAAGGAAAAAAAACGGUUACCUUAAAUCUCCUAUUGAUUACGUGUGAGUACUAAGCUGCGGUUAAAAGUCUAGUACUCUUUUUGGAAAGGACGCAGUCACUUAAAACUAAAUAAGAUAACUGUUUGUGUGUGAAAGAGAUGAAAGAAAGUAGGGGGGUGAAUGGAAGGGUUGAAAUGAAUGUGUACCACGUAAUUUUUAGAAUGGUCAAUAGUAAGAAGGACAGACUAGGUUACAUUUUAGUCAGCGGAUUUUCUUAGCGAAAAUCCUACCCAAAAAAGGGGGGUAUGUAACGCCUGCCGCGUUUUACUACUGAGUGUAAUUGCUCUUGUUUUUCUGUUAGGAACUAUCAAAAAGUUAUCAUUGAAAACACUUAAAAACUACUGCUUAAAACUAAAAUAUUAUUACAUAAAUAAACAUAUACUAAUUAAUUUAACAAAACAUAUCUAUUUACAAAAUAAUUCCGUUAAUAUUGUACGACUUUAAUAAUUAUCACAUUGCGUAGGUAGCCGUACCUACAUUCCACAGCCGAGCCGUUACUCUUCCGGUCGGAUGUUCGACACAAUCCUUCUGCCUUUGUAGCGAGAACACCUCGAUUACUCGUAUAUUUUUUAAAUACGUUUUUUUACUAAUUUUGUCUACGAUAUAAUAAUUUAUAGUGUUGUGUUAUCCCCAUUAAUUGGGUUUCACCCUUCGAGUUCAGCAACCGCUGGACCCACUACCGGUCCUGUACUUACCUGCACCGUUUCACCUUUCGGGUUCUACAACCCGCUGGAUCCACUUUCGGUCCUAUACUUACCCCACCGCUUCUGCUGCCCUGCUGCGCGCGCCGGUGUACCCCGUGUCGUCGUGGGAAGAGUUACAGGGAAGUGGUAGUUUUCCUACUGCACCAAGGGUGCUCAGCCAGUAUCAAAUUACCUGCGACCCAGAGAUCCGAUCUAUGUACUUGCUAGGGAUUUAAUGAAAUAAACUUGGUUUAAUUUCUA